GAUGAACGCUAGCGGCAGGCCUAACACAUGCAAGUCGAGGGGCAGCACAGAAACAGCAAUGUUUUGGUGGCGACCGGCGGACGGGUGCGUAACGCGUAUGCAACCUAUCUUUAACAGGGGGAUAACGGAGAGAAAUUUCCACUAAUACCCCAUAACAUCGAUCAAGGCAUCUUGAUUGGUUGAAAACUCCGGUGGUUAAAGAUGGGCAUGCGUUGUAUUAGGUAGUUGGUGAGGUAAUGGCUCACCAAGCCUACGGUACAUAGGGGGACUGAGAGGUUAGCCCCCCACACUGGUACUGAGACACGGACCAGACUCCUACGGGAGGCAGCAGUGAGGAAUAUUGGUCAAUGGGGGCAACCCUGAACCAGCCAUGCCGCGUGCAGGAAGACGGCUCUAUGAGUUGUAAACUGCUUUUAAACAGGGAUAAAGCACAGUAUGUAUACUGUGUUGAAGGUACUGUAAGAAUAAGGAUCGGCUAACUCCGUGCCAGCCGCCGCGGUAA
rnacentral:rRNA from 1 species